GUCGCCUCUCAUUUUUAUUUUUUGACAUGAUUUUUCAUCACUUCUCCGGUCACCCUCUCACUCAUCUAUUGAGCCUCGAAGAGAACCAGAACCUUUUCAUCGUAGAUGAUGGUGAUUUUCAUCAGGAAUGCCGUGGUCAACCACAGAAGCUCCCCAGUGUGAAGAGAGC